CCCCGUCCAGUCAUAGCCCUCUCUGCCGUUCUUGCUUGUCGUGAAGUUUUGUCAGUAAAUUAUUUUUGGAUGGCUCAAGAAAUCAAACCGGUCUUUGUCCUUUGGCUGGUUGUGGCCUGUCUAGCAGCUCAGAGUGGCAGAACUGUUGCAGAGACUAACACAGGAGACAAAGAAACAUCAACUGCACCUAAAGAACCUGUAACAAAAGAAGCGGCGACUGCAACUGUAGAAUAUACAAAGACAGGUGCGGCGACUACAACUGUAGAACAUGUAACAACAGGUGCAGCGACUACAACUGUAGAAUAUACAACGACAGGGGCAUUGACAACAACUGUAGAAUAUACAACCACAGAUGCAGCAACUACAACUCUAGAAUCUACAACAACAGGUGUGGCGACUACAAC